GCGAGCUUGGCGGAAUGGUAGACGCUCAAGACUUAAAAUCUUGUGUCCAAUUGGACGUGUGGGUUCAAGUCCCACAGUUCGCA
rnacentral:tRNA from 1 species